UACGUAGGGACCAAGCGUUGUCCGGAAUCAUUGGGCGUAAAGAGCGUGUAGGCGGCUUGUUAAGUCUUGCGUGAAAUCUCGGGGCUCAACCCCGAGCGGUCGUGAGAAACUGGCAGGCUAGAGUGCGGGAGAGGAGAGUGGAAUUCCUGGUGUAGCGGUGAAAUGCGCAGAUAUCAGGAAGAACACCAGUGGCGAAGGCGGCUAACUGGUCCAGAUCUGACGCUGAGGUGCGAAAGCGUGGGGAGCAAACAGG
rnacentral:rRNA from 1 species